rnacentral:rRNA from 1 species
UACGUAGGGGCAAGCGUUGUCCGGAAUCAUUGGGCGUAAAGAGCGUGUAGGCGGUUCGGUAAGUCGGCUGUGAAAGUCCAGGGCUCAACCCUGGGAUGCCGGUCGAUACUGCCGGACUAGAGUUCGGAAGAGGCGAGUGGAAUUCCCGGUGUAGCGGUGAAAUGCGCAGAGUAUACGGGAGGAACACCUAUGGCGAAGGCAGCUCGCUGGGACGUUACUGACGCUGGAGACGCGAAAGCGUGGGGAGCAAACAGG